rnacentral:rRNA from 1 species
GAUGAACGCUGGCGGUAUGCCUAACACAUGCAAGUCGUACGAGAGUUUUUAACUCUAGUGGCGGACGGGUGAGUAACACGUGAGAAUUUGCCCUUUAGGAGGGGGACAACAAUCGGAAACGAAUGCUAAUACCCCAUAUGCUUUCGAGUGAAAUGGGAUUUUAUCCGCCUAGAGAGAAGCUCGCGGCUGAUUAGCUUGUUGGUAAGGUAAGAGCUUACCAAGGCGACGAUCAGUAUCUGGUUUGAGAGGACGAUCAGACACACUGGAACUGAGACACGGUCCAGACUCCUACGGGAGGCAGCAGUGGGGAAUUUUGGACAAUGGGGGGCAACCCUGAUCCAGCAAUGCCGCGUGAGUGAAGAAGGCCUGGUGUAAGCUCUUUGUCAGGGAAGAACAAGACAGACUC